AAAACUAAUGAACGGAAACAACUUGUACAACUUUGGUGGUAAACAUAAAGAACUAAAUAAGUGAUAUUGAAAAAACUCCUUAUUUAUUAUAUGCAAACCGAGAGCAUGCAAAUACAAAAGUGCAAACAUACAUGCUAUAGUUACACACAGGAUAGCAUAUACCUUAAUUAUUCAGAAGUACAAUGAUAAAGAGAAGGAAAACCACACAGUCUUUUUAGAUAGAGAUACUGUUGGGAAUGCCUCUGAAAGUUAACCCUUCCUCACUUGAACGAUGGAGCAAUGUGUAUGGCAGUUGAACUGGUCCAUGUCGGUUUCUCAGACUUGGAUCACUGUUCCUUGCAUUGAUUUUGCUCUCAAUUUCAGUGAGUUUGCUUCCAAACCUUUGGAAAGCUUCUAAUGCCUUGUUAUCAGUUGUCCAGUUUGGAGUAUCCCUUUGUCCAAGGUAGAUCUCAUCAGAAGCAUGCCUUGAUAAUAUCUCUAUCACUGAAAGGUCAACGAGGGUCUCGUACUUUGGUGUGAUUGUUUUCAGAUAAGCCUUUUGAUAAUCGGCCACCAUCUCAUCAUAUUCUGGAGUUCCUGGUUCAGGGAUAAACCUUCUGCUUAGAGUUGGACGGUUCAGGAUAUAGCCUCCAUAAGGAUACUGUCCAAAGUUAACAGCUGAAUGAAGAGCAGAAGCUGUCCAUAUUAUAAUAGAGCAAGAUUGUAUGAGAUCUUCAAUGCUCUUCAGUUUAGGCCACCACGGUUUAUCUUUUAGGUCUGCAUGACCCUUCUCCACAACUUCCUUCCACCAUGCUUGGAGUUCAGUAUCUUGUUGAAUUGCCACAUCUGUUGGGUAAUACAAGGACACAUACUCUUUCACCCAUGACUUUAUAGCAUCCCAAAUUUCAAGUCCAUCAACAGCAUAAGGGUAGUCCUCUAUCACAAGACGAAGGCCAUGAGGAGCAGAAGGAUCUUCAGUAGCCAACCCUCUGAAUCAAGUAACAGUAAAAUGUUAUUACAAAUUCAAUAAGCCUCUCUCCAUUUCUUCCACCAUCAAACACAAAAACUUGUUUUUGUAGUUCCAAAGCUAGAAAACUUAAUGUUUUCAUUAAUAGAUAGAUAGAUAAAAACAAUAGUUUAAAGGAAUGGUUGGCUUUUACUAUAUAUAAAAUACCUCUUGAUAAGAUCUGCUGGUAAAGCUUGGUCAGUAAAAACCCAGUUCUUGUAAACUGCUGAAGACAUCUCAAUAGAGUACUUUCCGGGCAAAAAUGAUUGCUCUAUAAUUCCACCUGCAUUAAUCAAAGAUUGCCUAGCAAGUCCAUUGAUAUUAAUGGUAUCACGAUAGUGAGGAUAGAGAAGUUUAUAAAUGGGGUGAAGCACACUGAGUUGUCUGUUUGUUGCUAUGGCAAAAGGCUCCAUCACUGCAUGAGUAUUUAACCUGCAACACCAUAAAGAAAAAGAAAAAAACUUAUCAAUAAUAAAUUCAUUUACGCAUACAUUACAUAUGUGCUAAAUAUUGCCAAAGAAGUUCUUACCAAUGACUCAUGAGCUGAUGAUAACCAGAGUCAUUCACAACUACAUGAGCCUUGGCCAAUAGCCAAAUUGUGCUGUCAACACCAUCAAUUGCAGGCAACACAACUUUGCUCACAGGACCCAAAUUAUCUCCACCUGGAUGUGGCUUGCUUAAUUCGAUAGCAAGUGGCUUCAAAGUGCCAUCAUCUUUCAAGAAGAAGAUUGUUCUGGUGGCGUAAGCUCUUGCAACAGGUAGGCUGUUUAUCCUCGUCAAAUACGGAAAGAAUGCAUCUUGAUAAUCUAAUAUGAAUAAUCUCUUUGCGCUAAGUGCCUGUGUUCCAGAGUUUAAUUUCAGUGAUCUUUCUUUCAUAACUUCAAAUUACAAAUCUAAUAUGGCUUCAAGUGCUUAUACUAAAAAGAAAUUAUAAAAGAAUAUGUAACAAAAGUUAUGCUAAGUACAAAAUUACCUCAUCUACUGUGACCCCAUCCGUGUUAAUCUCCAACUGUUCUCUUGUUAUGGUACUGGUUUGAUCACCAUAGAGAGAGGGAUCAAGAGAACUUUUUGGUGGGAAUUCCUGCCAUUAUUAAAAGAUGUCACAAAUAACAAGAGAAACACAUUAACAUCUUAACUUUGUCAUCAAAGUUGACCGUUUUAGAGACUUAAUAUCAAGAGUAUAGACAUACCUGAAGAAGACGAAAUACAUUUGGAUUGACACCAGCAAUCACUUCUCUUGCAAACUCUUCAUCUGUGUUCCAUUCAGACCUUUUAACUGCAGAAAUUAAAAAGGAAAAAGUUGAGUAACCAAGUUAAUAAUUCAAUUAAAAAAUGCUAAUAUAUUGAAGUUGUUUUGAUGAAGUACCUUGGAUAACAUGAGGCAAUGGAAAUUGAAGGACAUUUUCACCAUCACUGCGGAAGAGUUCCUUGAGGGCAGGUACAGGGCUAAUUUGGCUCAAAAAAUCUGUUGGCAGCUUAAUUCCACCCUCAUAGAGACUACGCACAUCAUCGAAGUUCUUAAACUCACUUGAUGUGAUCCUUAAGUCAAAAAUUGCAGAUUUUAACAGGGGCAACACGUCCUGAGAUAAAGAUUUUAUUCCAUACAUGAUGAAAUCUGAUGACUUCAAGUGACCAAAAUUUUCAUCUCUUGGAACAUAAAUCGCGCCUGGUUUCUCACUGUUGGGAUCUGUUAUAAACCAACCAAAUACAGCAUUAAAUCCUUGUUUUUCAAUCAUAUAUAUUAUCAAAUUUUACAACUUUUUUCACUUAUAUAGCCUAUAUAUUCACGUUGACCUCUCUACAUUGUUUGCUGCUGUGCAAAACAUUACCAAAUCUGGAAGUAUUUCUAGGAUCAUUUCAAGUUCUUUCAGUAUAGUGUAUUUAGAAAGAAAACAUGUUAAAAAUUCUUGGAUGGGUUAAACAACUUCACCAUAGUUAUACCAUUGAAACUAUAUGCUCAUAUAAUAUAUAUAUUAAUUUUAUAUCAUGAUCAAUGUCAGAAACAAAAUAAUUGAAUAUAAUUAAACAGAAAAAGUCUAACCUGUCCUGGUUCGGUCUCUACCAGUUCUAACCCUGCGAGGGUAAGGAUAGAUGAUAGAUCCUCCAAGGAUUGGGCGAGGAUCACCACCAUCUGGGUUUCCAAGGUCAUUGUACACGUCAUAGUCAUAGAUUCUAUCUUGUUCCUGGCGUUUACCAGUUCCAUCUCCUCUAAGAGUCUCCAAUUCUUCUUGUCUGUAUUUGAGAAGUGGAGCUGGUGUUGCACUUGGAAGAUAUGUCUGAAAUAUAUUCAUGAAUUAGUUUUCUGACCACUAAUAGAAUGAAAACAAAAACGAUCAGGACUUGGAAAAUAAAAUCUGGGCAUAAAAAAAAUAGAAGCUUACAUCAUUCACAAAGAAAAUACGAUCUUUCUGGUAUUUGUUGAAGUUGUAAAUCCAGGAGUUACAAACAAAGUGAAUGGUUCCAUGGUUUGGAAUGUCCUCAAGAAGAACACUGACGAGGAAAAACUCAUCAGUUGUAUAGUUUUGGAUGUAAAAUGCCCCUGGAAUUCCAAAUUUAGCAUCCCAAUCAAAGGAAACACGGAAUGCUAGCUGCUGAGCUCCCAACGUUGGAAAGGUCGGAAGAUGUUUUUCCACAAAUGCUUUGCUUCCAACUUUUCCUUUUCCACUAGCUGCAAACAAACAUACAGAUAAAAUUGAAAUAAUAAUAACAAACUAAAGAUGAGUAUUUUAGAUUACGAUUGAACAAUAAUGUUAAAAAAAGGUGAUGCUUUGCAUGAAUAUUUCACACAAAUAAUUCACGAAUACAUAGCUGUCUCUGAAAUAAACAAAAAAACUACGUUAGCCACUUGCAAGAUAUACGUAUGUCGGAAUAUAAAACCGUGAAUUAGUUCUUACAAUGAAGUUUGUCUCUCUUUCAUCUUUUUGCAUCACUGUAAAGUUAACUUCACCAUUCAAGUUUACUAAAAGAGUUUUUAACUUAUCCAAUAAAAACAUAUGAUCAAACUUAUAAUAAUAGUAUAAGUGUACGACAAUUAUUUAAUUAAACUUCAUAUUCAAUCUAAACAAUGACUCGUUGCAUUAUUGAGAUUCAGUCCAGAAACGACAAAACAAUAUAGUAUUUUAAGAGUGGCUAUAGAGCUGGAUGAGAUAUGUUCAUACAUCAGAGAUAUUAAUUAAUAAGAGUUUCAUUUAGGUACUGCAAUUUUAGUAUAAUAACAAUUAAUUAGCAACCAGUUGAAGUCUAAUCUGUGAAAUAAUUUAUGACAGAAAAUAGUGUGGCUGGUAAGAUGAGAACAAACCAUCAGCUUGAGUAGCACUGAUCAACUGCAAGGAAAUAUUUUUGCCUGCGAAGGCAGUUGCAGCAUCAACCAAACUACCAGCUACGUUAACGACAGUGCCAAGGAUAUCUUUGGUAGUUUCAAUAACACCGUCUUUACCAAUGGAAGUUAAAGCGUUGAAGUCCAACACGUUCUUGGGCAUCAACACCACAGUGCCCUUUAUCUUCUGACCAUUGUCAAAGAGGCCACCUAUGAGACGUGACAUCUUAAUUUGCUACUGUAUCAGCACUGUAUAGUGUUGUUAUUCUUUCUGCAGAGGAAGAAGGAGAGAAGAUUGAAGCUUAGUUGUGUGUUGUGAAGAGGCAAAGAAAUGCUAUUUAUAGAGAGGACGUGAGAAGAGAGAAGCAUAGCUCCAUUACAGUGAGGUUUGCAGGCUGAUUUUUCUAUGGCCACCAACUCCAUAUGCAACACGUUAUCCACAUUUCAUUGCAUAUUUUUUUUCUUCCUUCUUAUGUAUUCAAAUUUAAUAUUCUUGAUGCCAUUCAAUUGAUUUUCUUAUUACAAUCUUUUUGUUUGAGUUUUGGACGUUCCUAGCUGUCCUUUUCUUUUUAUUAUGCAAAUGAUCUAUUACAAUCAAGAGUAGAAAAAAGAAUGGUUUAUUUCAAGAAAGAAAAUCGUGUGAUCGUUAUUUAUACUUUUUUAAACUGUCCUCUGAUAUAAACAAAUAUUUUUACAAUUACAAUACUUAUUCUUUUGGGAUUGGAAGCCAUGUUGUAUAUGUGAAAAAUACUGAACUUUUAUUACUUUUUAGAUGAGAAUUCCGUAUUGAAAAAAAAGAUAAUCUUGAAAAUUAUAUUUGUUAUACAAGUAACCCAUCUAGAAUGUGUAUGGUGUUUGCUCUUAAUUAUUGCACAUGUUAGCAUAUUUAUUAUUGUAAGUGUGUUGUUUUGUGAUUUUUAUAUUAUUAGAAAAAUUUGUACACUUUGUUUUUUUUAUCUUUUGUUUGUGAUGAGUGAUUGGAAGAACAUGGUUCUUUGAGAAUAAGUCUCAACCAAAAAUUACAUAAUUGAAAGACUUGGCUCUCUACAAAGAUGGUGGUAAAGAAAGUCUCUUUUGAUUUUAGUACAAAGAACUAAUUGAAACUUCUCAACUUUAUUACUGAUAAACAUAAGAUGAACUAGAUAGGAAAUGACAGUGAAAACAAACUUAUAACAUACUCAAAUUGAACGAGAGCAGCAUACUGCAUACACACUGAGACAACGAUUUCACACAGACUUUUGUUGUUUCUUACUCAAAAGCAUAAUAUGGAUAAGGAAAACACAUCCGUUUCAGAUAGAGAUACUGUUUGGAAUUCCUCUGAAAGUCAUUCCUUCCUCACUUGAACGAAGGAGUAAGGUGUAUGGCAACUGAACUGGCCCAUGACGGCUUCUCAGACUUGGAUCAUUGUUCCUUGCUGUGAUCUUUCCUUCAAUUUCUGUCAGUUUGCUUCCAAACUUUUUGAAAGCUUCUAGUGCCUUUGAAUCAGUUGUCCAAUAUGGACUAUCUCUCUCCCCAAGAUAGAUCUCAUCAGAGGCAUGCCUUGACAAUAUCUCUAACACUGAAAUGUCAACAAGGCUCUCGAACUUAGGUGUGAUUGUGUUCAAAUACGCCUUUUGAGGAUUCUUCACCAUCUCAUCAUAUUCUUUGGUUCCUGGUUCAGGGAUAAAUCUUCUAGUCAGAGUUGGACGGUUCACGAUGUAACCUCCAUAAGGAUAUUGUCCAUAAUUAACAGCUGCAUGAAGAGCAGAAGCUGUCCAUAUGAUGAUAGAGCAAGAUUUAAUGAGAUCUUCAGUCGUAUGCAUUUUAGGCCACCAAGGCUUAUCUUUUAAGUCACCAUGACCCUUUUCCACAACUUCCUUCCACCAUGCUUGUAGUUCAGUAUCUUGUUUUAUUGCUUCAUCUGUUGGGUAAUACAAGGAGACAUAAUCUUGGACCCAUGCCUUAAUAGCAUCCCAUAUUUCAAGUCCAUCAACAGCAUAAGGGUAGUCCUUUAUCAGAAGACGAAGGCCAUGAGGAGCAGAGGGGUCUUCAACUGCUAAUCCCCUGAGUCAAGCAACAAUAUAACAUCUUAUUGACAAAUUCAACUAGCCUCACUCCGUUUCUAUUAUCAUUAAGGGAAAUUUUUUGUUUUCAUAGUUCCAUAACUGAAAUAAUUCAUGUUUCUAUUGACAAACACAUAUUUAAAAGGUGAUAAUUAAUAGUUCAUGCAAUCACAAAGUCAUCUAAUCACCCGUGACAGCAAAGCUUCUCUCUUACAUUAACAAUACGUAAAAAUUAAACCCUAUCUUGAAUUACUAAUUAGUAAAUAAAACUUCAUAUAUCUUUAUUUUAGUGAAGUAUAUUUUAUGAAUAUCACCUCUUGACAAGAUCAGCUGGUAAUGCUUGGUCAGUAAAAACCCAAUUCUUGUAAACAGUUGAGGAAAUCUCCAUAGAGUACUUUCCAGGCAAAAAUGCUUGCUCAAUAAAACCAUCUGCAUUGAUCAGGGAUUGCCUAGCAAGACCGUUGAUAUUUAUGGUAUCACGGUAGUGAGGAUAAAGAAGUUUAUAAAUGGGGUGAAGCACACUGAGAUUCCUGUUUGUUGCUAUGGCAAAUGGCUCUACCACAGCAUGAGUAUUUAACCUGUUAACCCAAGAAGAAAAAUAUCAGCAAUAAAUUCAUAUGCACAUACACUAUACAGUACACAUGGACUAAAUAUUGCAAAGGAAGUUCUCACCAAUGACUUAUGAGCUGAUGAUAGCCACAAUCAUUCACAACUACAUGAGCUUUGGCCAACAGCCAAAUUGUACUUUCAACACCUUCUGUUGCAGGCAGCACGACUUUACUCACGGCACCUAAGUUGUCUCCACCAGGAUGUGUCUUGCUUAAUUCGAUAACAAGAGGCUUUAAAGAUCCAUCAUCUUUCAAGAAUAGGAUUGUCCUUGUGGCAUAAGCUUUUGAUGUUGGUAGGUUGUUUAUCCUCGUCAAAUAAGGGAUGAAUGCAUCAUGGUGAUCUAGUAUGAAUAAUCUGUCUUUACCAAGUGCCUGUUCCAGAAAUUUUUAUUUCAGUGACUCAAUUUCUUAACUUCAAUUUACAAAUCCAAGUAGAGCAAUUAAAUAUUGACUCUUUUACAUGUUAAUCGAGUGUAUUUUGUUUUUAAUUUGCAUCAGAAGGAUUACUGAAAAGGAAAUUAUAAGAGAAUUUAGCAAAAGUCAUGCCAGAUAGAAGUCGAAUGAUGAUGUUUUUUUAUUGUGAAAAAUGCAUAUCAUUACCUCUUCUACUGUGACCCCAUCCAUGUUAAUCUCCAACUGUUCUUUUGUUAUGGUACUAGUUUGAUCACCAUAGAUUGUGGGAUCAAGUGAGCUUUUUGGUGGAAAUUCCUGCCAUUAGUAAACAAUGAUGUGAGGAAGGAUGACAGAUAUACGUAUAUAAUGAAUUUAAUAACAAAACAUUUGAACUUACUUGCAGACGACGAAUUACAUUUGGAUUUACACCAGCAAUGGUCUCUCUUGCAAAUUCUUCAUCAGUCAUCCAUGCUGACUUGCUAACUGUCCAAAGCAUAAAAUAUGUACUUGUCAAAUUAUCAAUUCAACAAACGCUAACAUGAUUAAGUUGUUUUGAUCAAGAUGUAUAAUCGAAGGUACCUCUGAUUACAUGAGGUGGUGGAAAUUGAAGGACAUUUUCACCGUCAGUACGGAAGAUUUCCUUGAGGGCUGGUAAGGGACUGAUUUGGCUGAGUAUAUCUGUUGGCAGCUUAAGUCCACCCUCAUAGAGACUACGCACAUCAUCGAAGCUAUCAAACUCACUUGAUGUAACCCUCAAGUCAAAAAUUGCAGAUUUUAACAAAGGAAACACAUUCUGAGAUAGGGAUUUGAGUCCAUAUAUAAGAAAAUCCGAUGACUUCAAGUGACCGAAAUUCUCAUCUCUUGGGACAUAAAUCUCACCCGGUUUCUCACUGUUGGGGUCUGUUACAAAAUAACCCAGAGUGAAAGAAUUAUCAACAAACGCAUAAAUUUGUAUACCAAGAUCAACAUAAUAAUAAAGUUUACAUCUUUAUCCACCAAUGAAACCAUAUAUGCCCUUGUGUUUAGUUUCACUAUAAAGAAAAAUCUUACCUUUUUUGGUCUUGUCUCUACCAGAUCUAACCCUGCGAGGGUAUGGAUAGUUGCUAGAGCCUCCAAGGAUUGGGCGAGGCUCACCACCAUCUGGGUUUCCAAUGUCAUUAUACACGUCAUAGUCAUAGAUUCUAUCUUCUUCCUUGCGUUUUCCAGUUCCAUCUCCUCUAAGAGUCUCCAAUUCUUCUUGUCUGUACUUCAGCAAUGGAGCUGGUGUUGCACUUGGAACAUAUGUCUGUCAUAUAUUUCACCAAUUUUGUCAUUCAAAGAAUUACAAACAAAACCCAUUUGUCUUUGUUUGAAAAAUUAGUUGGGUGAACUUUUGUACACAUUAGAAAAGCAGAACUUACAUUGUUGACAAAGAAAAUACGAUCUUUUUUGUAUUUUUUGAAGUUAUAAACCCAGGAGUUACAGACAAAGUGAAUGCUUCCAUGGUUUGGAAUGUCUUCAAGAGUCACACUAACAAGGAAAAACUCAUCAGUCUUGAAGUUUUUUAUGUAAAAUGCUCCUGGAAUUCCAAAGUCGGAAUCCCAUUCAAAAUAAAUACUGAAUGCCUCUUGUCUUGCUCCCAAAGUGGGUAGUGUUGGAAGAUGACUGUUCAGAUAUGUUUCCUCUCCAACUUUCCCUUUCCCACCUACAUAGUUAAACUCCAUAAAUAGUUAAAAAAACAAGGGCACGUCACCCAACAAUAAUUUCAAAUGCUAUAUAUGUAUUUUUUUAAAUAUAAAUAUAUAUUCAAUUUAUAAUAUGUUUAUACAAUAUAAAUACAAAAAAAAAAUAUUAUCUUAUAUCUAUUUACGUGUAAAUGUAAAUAAUUAAAGAAUUUUUUUUGAAUAAUGAUUUAUGAAAUGUACUAUUGUCACAAAUAAAUAAUUUUAUAUGUACAAAGAAUAUUAUUAAAUGUUAAUUAAAUAUUGAAUAAGAUUAAAAUUAAUAAUCUUAUUAUUCUCAAAAUUAUUACAACCAUAAUAUUAUAUAGAUUUUUCUUUCAUAACUUUUUUAUUUUACUUUUCCUCUUUUGUCCUGUUUUUAUGCAGUGAGGUAAUUAUUUGACUUAUAUUUAUUACAUUAGUUAUUUUCUAUAAUUACACCUGUUUGAUGGUAGUUCUGUUUUAUUGUGUUAAUAAUAAUUUGAAGAAAUGAAAAGAGAUUGAACGAACCAUGAGUCUGAGUAGCACUGAUCAACUGCAUGGAAACGUUACGCCCUAAGAAGGCGGUGGCAGCGUCGAUUACUCCGCCGGCUACAUUGGCGACGCCGCCCAAGAUACCGCCGACGGCGCCAACAGCGCCGCCGACAACGCCGCCAAUACUGUUAGGAACGGAGACGGAGGAGAUGGCGUUGAAGUCCAAGACAUUCUUGGGCAUCAACACCACAGUCCCCUUUAUCUUCUGUGUCCUUUUGCCGAUCCCAAACAUUUUUCCUCCUUCUGUUUACACACACUCAACACUAUUGUUCUUAUCCUUUUCAGAAGAAGAAGAAGAAGCUUGUGUGGUGAAACACUGCAUAGAAGGUACUUAUAGUGGCAGAAUUCAUGGCAUACCUACCUGCAUAUCUAACACGUGCUAUAUAACAUUGCAUAAUGAUGUUCCAGUCCAAUCAAACUCCACAAAUUUCAACAUUGAGUAAGAAAAAAUGAUUCAAAAGUUUAUAUAUAUACAAAUACCUCUAAUAAAAAAAAUAUUUUGAAUAACUAUAAAAAACAUAAAUAUCUCCAAUAAAAAAAGGUUAAAUAUCUUUUUUUUCCCAUUGGUUAAGAAUAUUCAAAUUGGUCCUCAUUUUAUUUUUCUGUUCACUAUAGUCCUAAAGAACGUAAUAUUAUGUUCAAUUUAGUCAUUUUUAUGUUCCAUGUAGUCCUAAAGAACGUAAUUUGUGUUCAAUUUAGUCCUUGUUUGUAGUUCACGGAAUUUGUAAAAAGGAUUAAAUUGAACACAAAUUACAUUCUUUAGGACUACAUUGAACAGAAAAAAGACUAAAUUGAACAUAAUUACGUUUUUUAGGACUAUAUUGAACAGAAAAAUAAAAUGGAGACCAUUUUGAAUAUUUGUAACCAAAACUAGGACCAAAAAAUGUAUUUUACCUAAAAAAAAAGUAUCUUGAAUAAGUAUAAAAAACAAAUCAGUAAAAACUUAAUCCAAAAUGGAUAAUAUUUUUUGAUGUAUAGAGAUCUAUGUGUGUCCAACCUACCUACAAUGACGAUAGAACAAUCAUUUACAUUCAUUUUACAUAUUAUAAAAUAAUUUAAAAAAGUAAACUUUUUGUAAUUUUUUUUAAAUAAAAAAUAAAAAGUAAGAAAACAUUAUACUAUCAUUUCUCUUCAUUGUUUUGUCAAUUUCUUAGGAUCAACAUUAUCCACUCAUAUCUCUUCUGUGUUCUGGUUUGUUAUAUUAAUUAGUGGUCGUAAAAAUUAUUUCAAAUAUUUCAUAAUACAGAGAAUUUUUGUAAUACAGGCAGAUUUUUUUCUUAAUAUUUCAUAAUUUAUUUAUAUUAGCCAUAGAAUGGUCCAGUUCUACUUUUCAUGCUUUUGUUUUUAUAUCAUUGGACCACCUGCGUAUGCUUAUUCGUUCGCCUUGUGGAUGAGAUAUGCAUUAAAUCUAUUAAUGAUUGAUUUUAUAUCAUUGCCUUUUCUCUUCUAUCUUUCUAAGAUUUAGGAGUUAAUUUUUAUCAUCUUAUUGAUCAAGGUAUUAGUGAGACUACGACAAAGUGAAAAUGAAUUCUGACUCUUAAAAAAAUUCAAUUAAACUAAGAUUUUAUUUUCCCUCUACUUAAAAAAAAUUGAUAAACUACAUUUGUAUGUGAAAGUAAAAUAAAUUUGUACAUUAAAGUUUAAUGUUUCAAUAGGAAAUUUAACAUUGUGGGGUUUUGAUUGAGAUCGAAGACAUACAUUCCUUUUGAAAUUCUUCUUGGAACUUGAAAUAAUAGAGUGAGAAUCAUCAAAUUGAUUUAUGUUAGUUAUAAUAUAGAGUAUAUGUAAUAUAUUUGUUCUUUUAUACAUUUGAAAUUGGGUUGGACAAUUAUAUUUAUUUUUGUUCCAUCGAUUUAUGUUUAGAUUAUGAUUAGAUAUUGUUGAAUUUAUAUAUUGGGUUUUGAAUGGUAAUUUUGAGCUGAAAUGAUUCAAAUAUAAAAUUGAUGUAAUAAAUAGGUUGGUGUGUUUUGAUUAAGAGUGUCAAAUGGAUUGAUUUACCAAUGCACUAAAAGUAAAUUAGUUUAAGUCAACAAUUUUAUAAUAUGACUUAAUUCUCAUAAAUUGAUUAAUGAAUUUACUCACUUAAAAAUAUUUUAUAUAUUUUUAAUUUAUUUUAUAUAUAUAUAUAUAUGCUAGAAAUAGGAUCGUCCAAUUCUCCUUUUUCGUGGCUUGUUUUCAUAUCAUUGGACUAUAUAUAGGAGAUGCAAUAAAUCACUGAAUAAUUGGUUUGAAAUUUUUUUGAAGGGUUCAGAAUUUAUUUUUAUAUUUAAAAUUGAAAAAAAAAAUAUCAUUCGUAGCUUCUUAAUAUCUCCAUAAAUUAAUAUUAUUAAUUCUCUCAAAAGAUACAGGAAUUUAAUUAGGGGAACGUGGAAUUAUGGACUUACGGGUGUCAAUUCGUUAAUAUAUCGUAAAUCUUAACUCAUUUAAAUAAGUCUCUUUUGAGGAUUUUAAGCAACGGGAUAAAGAAAACUUUCAAGUUUAGAAAGUCUCUCUUUCAAAUAGAUUAUGGUUAGGACUAAAAUAUGUUUGGUGCAAUGAAAAAUUUAAUUAAAUACGCCAGUUGCAAUUUGUUGGAAUUUGAACCAUGUUUCCAAGACUAAUGCCGGGUGGUUUAGAUUGAAAAUUUAGAUGAGUGGAUUUAGUUUUGAGGUUUAUAUGAGUUGAUCGAGUUUGAAGGUUAUGGACUAGUUAAGGUUAAUUCAAAUCAAAAGUUAAAAUAAACUAGUUUGGGUGGUUGAUUGAACCAAGUUAAUAAUCGAGAUGGGUCAAUCAAGUUGAAGGUUGUGAUGAGUCAAUCUAGAUUGAAGGUUGAGACGAACUGACAUGUAUUGGAAGUCAAGACACACUAUGAUCGCUUGACAACAACUAAAAUUUUAUCAAAUUCAACAAAUUUGGUUGAACUUGGCCCAAUCUUCCUUGACCAAAAUUUGACCAUAUUUGACAAAGUCGAGCCAAGCUGAAAUUUGUCUAAAUUUGACUUAUUUAGACCUUGUUGAAAUACACCCAAAUUUAAUAGUAUUGACUUGGUCAAAAUUUGGCCGAAUUCGACCAAGACGAUUAUGACCAAAAUUUAGUUGAAUUCGGUCGAGUUGGUCCAAGCCAAAAUUAGGUCAAAAUUGAUCGAGAUUACCUAGGUUGACAUUUUUUUGAAUUUUAUAUAAUUGACCAUGAUCGUAAUUUGGCUAAAUUCGACUAAGUCGUCCCGAUCGAAAUUUCGUCAUGUUAACCUUAGCAUAAUUUUGUCCGAAUUUGACUCAAUCAGUUUUGUUCGAAUUCUAUGGAAUCAACCACAACUAAAUUUUGGUCGAAUUCAACUGAGUCAACCAUAAUUGGGAUAAGGUCAAGUCGGUAACAAUAAAUAGCGAAUUCCAACCACAUAUGGUCAUUUACAAAAACGAAGCUGAUGACACUAAAGAAAAACUUAAACAAAGACGAUCAGAUUCGUUUAAAGUAUUCAAAAAAAGGGGUGGAAAGCAGAUAGAAGGUGCGAUGCAAGAGUCUGCAAAAUCAAAUAUGAGUAAAAGUGGGUGUAUGGAUGGGUGGAGUUAAUUAUAAGAGAGAAAAAGUUUUUUACCCUUAUCAGAAAGGUACUUUUCUUAAUUUAGAAUUUGGAGGUGUAGAAAGAAAAGUUGAAGGUACAAGGAGAAGCAUCCGUGGAGAGAUAGCAUGUAAUCUGUAACCCAACUUUAGAAAACUAAAUUGAAAAACGGAUAGCCCAAAAGAAAAACGGGCUUAACGAGAGUGUUAUCAUUAUAUAUUAUUAUUAUUUUAAUAUGAAUUUCUUAAACAUAUUUAGUCAAUUUUUUAUUUAGUUAUAAAUUAGCAUUUUAGUUUGUGCAAGGAAGAUAAAUGUUUUAUCAUAUAUAACAAAAAGUACGAUAUAUAUAUAUAUAUAUAUAUAUAUAUAUAUAUAUAUAUAUAUAUAUAUCCAUCAAAUAUCUUACUUAAACAAGUUUUAUAUUUUAUAUUGCUUUAACAUCAUUUCAAGAAAUAAAUUUAUGUUUAACUAUUGAGAGACGAUAAGGACAUUUGUGAAAUGUUGUUGGUCAUUAGUAUACUUUUCAGAACUAGAAGACUUGUUGCAUCGAUUUAUCUGUUUUAUAUACACAAUGAUUGCACCAAAUCUAUCACAUUAUUUUCUGAUUAAUGUUUAAAACAAAAAACACUGUUAUUUUCUUGGUCAAUCAAAGCACACAGUUCCAAACAGAGAAUUACAAGCAUAAUAAAAAACACAACAGCAUGAUCAUUUGUGUUAUGACAAAGUGGAUACAUAAUCAUGGUAUUCAACCACACGUUGUCUAGAUAGAGAUACUGUUAGGGAUUCCUCUGAAAGUCAACCCUUCCUCGCUUGAAGGAAUGAGCAAUGUGUAUGGAAGUUCAACUGGUCCACAUCGGUUUUUCAAGGCUGAAUCGGUGUUCCUUGCUGUGAUUUUUGCUUCAAUCUCUGUCAACUUGCUUCCAAACCUUUUGAACGCUUCCAAUGCCUUAGAAUCAGAUGUCCAAUUUGGAUGAUCUCUCUUGCCAAGGUAGAUCUCAUCAGAAGCAUGCCUUGACAGUAUUUCUAUCACUGUCAGAUCAAUAAUGGCCUCACGCUUAGGUGUAAUUGUUCUCAAAUAUGCAGUGUGAGGACUCUUCAGCAUCUCAUCAUAUUCUUUGGUUCCUGGCUCAGGGAUGAAUCUUCUGCUUAAAGUUGGACGGUUCAGGAUAAAACCUCCAUAAGGAUAUUGUCCAAAAUUAACAGCUGCAUGAAGAGCUGAAGCAGUCCAAAUGAUAGUAGAACUUGAUUGAAUAAGCUCUUGACGAGUCUUCAUUUUAGGCCACCAUUGUUUAUCUUUUAAGUCUGCAUGACCCUUCUCUACAGCUUCCUUCCACCAUGCUUGAAGUUCAGUAUCUUGUUGAACUGCCACAUCUGUAGGGUAAUACAAGGACACAUACUCUUCAACCCAUAUCUUAAUAGCAUCCCAUAUUUCAAGUCCAUCAACAGCAUAAGGGUAGUCCUUUAUCACAAGACGAAGGCCAUGAGGAGCAGAAGGAUCUUCAGUAGCCAAUCCUCUACAUCAAGCAAAAAGAAAAAAAAUGUUACUACCCUCUCAGUUUUUGCCAUAAUUAAAAGGGCACAUUUUGUUUUUUAGUCCCAGUUCAUUUUUCUAUCAUUAACCAUAUUAUUAUAGUUUAGUUUAUGCAGUAAUGUGUAUUUAAGAAGAAUACCUCUUGAUGAGAUCGGCUGGCAAUGAUUGUUCAGUGAAAACCCAAUUCUUGUAAACGGCUGAAGACAUCUCCAUAGAAUACUUUCCAGGCAAAAAUGAUUGUUCUAUAAUGCCAUUUGCAUUAAUCAGGUUUUGUCUAGCAAGUGCAUUGAUAUUAAUGGUAUCACGAUAGUGAGGAUAAAGAAGCUUAUAAAUGGGGUGAAUCACACUGAGAUUCCUGUUUGUUGCUAUUGCAAAUGGCUCCAUCACUGCAUGAGUAUUUA
rnacentral:lncRNA from 1 species